rnacentral:tRNA from 1 species
AUUUUAUUAGUUUAAAAAAAACAUUGAUUUGUGGAAUCAAAGAUGUUUAUACAUAAAAUA